GCCAGAGUGGCGAAAUUGGUAGACGCAGUGGAUUCAAAAUCCACCGGUGGCGACACUGUGCCGGUUCGAGUCCGGCCUCUGGUA
rnacentral:tRNA from 1 species